rnacentral:lncRNA from 1 species
AUGGCAAAGAGAACUACUAACCUGAAACCCUAGCAAGAAGGAAACGUCUAGAACUUGUAAAUGUGAGCGUCGAUUUCUAGGGAUAAGACAAUAAGAUUAUUAUAUAAGAAAGAAAGAUUUGAUCUGAAUACCUAAAUUUCUUAUCGUUCAGAUUUUGGAAUAAUAACAUCAGACGAUGGUUUCGAUCUGAGGCAAGGAUGGAUUUUAUAGGCAAAAUUGUAGCAGCGAGGAAGGUAGAAAAAUCAGCCGGGGUAGAGGAAUCGACAGACGGUAGAUUUGAUGAGACACGAUCCAUCUGAAAUGGAGGUAAAUUUUAUGAGACACAAUUUCGUCGAUCCUGUCUAAAACGGAAAUAGGGGACGGAUGCUGCGGCGAAGAGAGGAGAAGAAACGAUUUAUUGUAACGGACAUGAUAAGAAGCAAGGUCGCGCGGAGGGGGAGCGAUUUACUGUAACAGACAUAAGAAGAAGCAAGGUCGUGCGGAGGCGGAGCGAUUUACUGUUUUUCGUGGAGAAUAUGCAAGGUCGCGUGUAUUGGUUCAAUUUGAUUCAGAGGUUUAGAUAGUGAACGGUUCGCAUCGGUUCAGUUUGGUCCUAUUGAGUUUAGAGGUUCAGAGAGAGACAGUUCAAUGGUUCGUUUCAGAUGUUUAGAGACAACGGUUCUAUAGGCAAAAAUGUAGCAGCGAUGAGGGUAGAAGAAUCGGCCAGGGAAGAGGAAUCGGCGGACGGUAGAUUUGAUGAGACACGAUCCAUCUGAAACGGUGGUAGAUUUUAUGAGACACGAUCUCGUCGAUCCCGUCUGAAAUAGAAAUAGGGGACAGAUGCUGCGGCGGAGAGAGGAGAAGAAAUGUUUUACUGUAACGGACAUGAGAAGAAGCAAGGUCGCAUGGAGGGAAAGGGAUUUAUUGUAACGGACAUGAGAAGAAGUAAGGUCGUGCGGAGGCGGAGCGAUUUACUGUUUUGCGUGGAGAAGAAGCAAGGUCGUGUGUAUUGGUUUGGUUUGAUUUAGAGGUUUAGAUAGUGAACGGUUCGCUUCGGUUCGGUUUGGUUCGGUUUGGUUCAGAGGUUCAGAGAGAGGUAGUUCAAUAGUUCGGUUCAGAUGUUUAGAGACAACAGUUCGGUUCGGUUCGGUUCAGAGGUUAAGAGAGAGGCAGUUCAAGACUAAAUUACCAAUCAUUCUUGAAAAUAAUAAAUGGUUAGAAAUUAUAUGUUGAUCAAAAAGGAACAAUUCAUGGCAAAGAGAACUACUAACCUGAAACCCUAGCAAGAAAGAAACGUCCAGAUCUUGUAAAGAUGAGCGUCGAUUUCUAGGGAUAAGACAAUAAGAUUAUUGCAUAAGAAAGAAAGAUUUGAUCUGAAUACCUAAAUUUCUUAUCGUUCAGAUUUUGGAUUAAUAACAUCAGAUGAUGGUUUCGAUCUGAGGCAAUGAUGGAUUUUAUAGGCAAAAUUGUAGCAGCGAGGAAGGUAAAAGAAUCGGCCACGGUAGAGGAAUCGACAAACGGUAGAUUUGAUAAGACACGAUCCAUCUGAAACGGUGGUAGAUUUUAUGAGACAUGAUCUCGUCGAUCCUGUCUAAAACGGAAAUAGGGGACGGAUGCUGCGGCGGAGAGAGGAGAAGAAACGAUUUAUUGUAACGGGCAUGAGAAGAAGCAAGGUCUCGCGCAGGGGGAGCGAUUUACUGUAACAGACAUGAGAAGAAGUAAGGUCGUGCGGAGGCAGAGCAAUUUACUAUUUUUGGUGGAGAAUAAGCAAGGUCGUGUGUAUUGGUUCAAUUUGAUUUAGAGGUUUAGAUAGUGAACAGUUCGCAUCAGUUCAGUUUGGUCCUGUUCGGUUUAGAGGUUCAGGGAGGGGCAGUUCAAUGGUUCGGUUCAGAUGUUUAAAGACAACGGUUCUAUAGGCAAAAUAGGCAAAAAUGUAGCAGCGAUGACGGUAGAAGAAUCGGCUAGCGUAGAGGAAUCGGCGGACGGUAGAUUUGAUGAGACACGAUCCAUCUGAAACGGUGGUAGAUUUUAUGCGACACGAUCUCGUCGAUCCCGUUUGAAAUAGAAAUAGGGGACGAAUACUGCGGCGAAGAGAGGAGAAGAAACGAUUUAUUGUUACAGACAUGAGAAAAAGCAAGGUCGCGCAGAGGGGAAGCGAUUUAUUGUAACGGACAUGAGAAAAAGCAAGGUCGUGCGGAGGCGGAGCGAUUUACUGUUUUGCAUUGAGAAAAAGCAAGGUCGUGUGUAUUGGUUUGGUUUGAUUUAGAGGUUUAGAUAGUGAACGGUUCGCUUCGGUUCGGUUUGGUUCGGUUUGGUUCAGAGGUUCAGAGAGAGGUAGUUCAAUGGUUCGGUUCAGAUGUUUAGAGACAACAGUUCGGUUUGGUUCAGUUCAGCGGUUCAGAGAGAGAUAGUUCAAGACUAAAUUACCAAUUAUUCUAGAAAAUAAUAAACGGUUAUAAAUUCUAUGUUGAUGAAAAAGGAACAAUUCAUGGCAAAGAGAACUACUAACCGGAAACCAUAGCAAAAAGAAAACGUCCAAAUCUUGUAAAUGUGAGCGUCGAUUUCUAGGGAUAAGACAAUAAUAUUAUUAUAUAAGAAAGAAAGAUUUGAUCUGAAUACCUAAAUUUCUUAUCGUUCAGAUUUUGGAAUAAAAACAUCAGACGAUGGUUUCAAUCUGAGGCAAGGAUGGAUUUUAUAGGCAAAAUUAUAACAGCGAGGAAGGUAGAAGAAUCGGCCAGGGUAGAGGAAUCGACAGACGGUAGAUUUGAUGAGACACGAUCCAUCUGAAACGGUGGUAGAUUUUAUGCGACACGAUCUCGUUGAUCCCUUCUAAAACGGAAAUAGGGAACGGAUGCUGCGGCGGAGAGAGGAGAAGAAACAAUUUAUUGUAACGGACAUGAUAAAAAGUAAGGUCGUGCGGAAGGGGAGCGAUUUACUAUAACAGACAUGAGAAGAAAUAAGGUCGUGCGGAGGCAGAGCGAUUUACUAUUUUUCGUGUAGAAUAAGUAAGGUCGCGUGUAUUGGUUCAGUUUGAUUUAAAGGUUUAGAUAGUGAUCGGUUCGCAUAGGUUCAGUUUGGUCCUGUUCGGUUUAGAGGUUUAGAGAGAGGCAGUUCAAUGGUUCGGUUUAGAUGUUUAGAGAAAACGGUUCUAUAGGCAAAAUAGGCAAUAAUGUAGCAGCGUGGAGGGUAGAAGAAUCGGCCAGGGUAGAGGAAUCGGUAGACGGUAGAUUUGAUGAGACACGAUCCAUCUGAAACGUUGGUAGAUUUUAUGAGACACGAUCUCGUCGAUCCCGUCUGAAACUGAAAUAAGGGACGGAUGCUGCGGCGGAGAGAGAAGAAGAAACGAUUUAUUGUAACGGACAUGAGAGAAAGCAAGGUCGCGCGGAGGGGGAGCGAUCUACUGUAACGGACAUGAGAAUAAGCAAGGUCGUGCGGAGACGUAGCAAUUUACUGUUUUGCGUGGAGAAAAAGCAAGGUCGUGUGUAUUGGUUUGGUUUGAUUUAGAGGUUUAGAUAGUGAACGGUUCGCUUCGGUUCGGUUUGGUUCGAUUUGGUUCAGAGGUUCAGAGAGAGGUAGUUCAAUGGUUCAGUUCAGAUGUUUAGAGACAACAGUUCGGUUCGGUUCGGUUCAGAGGUUCAGAGAGAGACAGUUCAAGACUAAAU